GCAAACUUGGUCAUUUAGAGGAAGUAAAAGUCGUAACAAGGUUUCCGUAGGUGAACCUGCGGAAGGAUCAUUAUUGAAAGAGCUGCCCUAUAGGGGGGUAGACCUUCAACCAUUGUUAACAAACUUUUUUUGCUUUGGCAGUCAUUGAUUGCCAAUAGUUAACUCUUUUAAACUUUAUUGUCUGAAAUCUCAAAAUAAAUAAAACUUUCAACAACGGAUCUCUUGGUUCUGGCAUCGAUGAAGAACGCAGC
rnacentral:misc_RNA from 1 species